GUCUUUAUGAAUGGGAAGCCAAAAGAAGACUUGUUUUUAGGUGGAAUUGAAUUCCACUCGACUUUUCGUUCCACGUGGAGAGAGUCCGACUCCUUCAACUGAUUUCAUUAUCAAUUGAGGAUUUUGGAUUUUUCUUUUAUUUUCUUUUAUUUUCUUUCCCUAUAUUUCCUCCCCACCAAACUUUCUCUCUCCGUUUUUCCCAAACAGCAAAAUUCCCGCAACCCCCAAAAAUUUUCUCGCUCAAGAAAACGAAAAAUGGAAGGAGGGGCUCGUGGAGCCGCAUCAUCGAUCACCAACUCCGGUAGUAGCUCACUGCCUCCGUUUCUGAGCAAAACCUACGACAUGGUCGACGACCCUUCCACCGAUUCCAUCGUCUCUUGGGGAAGCAGGAACAACAGCUUCGUCGUACGGAACGUGGCUUUGUUUGCCAGUGAUCUCUUGCCCAAAUACUUCAAGCACAAUAAUUUCUCUAGCUUCGUCAGGCAGCUGAAUACUUAUGGCUUUAAGAAGGUUGACCCAGACCAAUGGGAAUUCGCAAAUGAAGGGUUUUUAAGAGGUCAAAAGCACCUUUUGAGGAGUAUCAGCAGGCGAAAGCCAGCUCAUAUGCAUAGUUAUCAGCAACCAGAAGUACAGAGCUCUACGGUUGGGGCAUGCAUUGAGGUGGGGAAGUUUGGACUGGAUGAAGAGGUUGAAAGGCUUAAAAGGGACAAGAAUGUUCUUAUGCAGGAACUUGUCAGGUUGAGACAGCAACAGCAAGCUACAGAUCAUCAGUUGCAAAAUGUUGGGCAACGUGUACAGGUAAUGGAGCAGCGUCAGCAGCAAAUGAUGUCAUUUCUUGCAAAGGCUAUGCAUAGUCCUGGCUUCUUAUCCCAUCUUGUGCAGCAGCAAAAUGAAGGUAAAAGGCGCAUCACUGUAGGCAAUAAGAAAAGGAGACUCCCAAGGCAAGGAAAAAAUCCUACAGCUGAGCAUGGAAUUAAUUCUCCUGAUGGGCGAAUGGUGAAGUACCAGCCUUCAAUGAACGAGGCAGCAAAAGCAAUGCUCCAACAGAUCUUGAAGAUGAAUACAUCUCCUAGGCUGCAACCAGGGGUCUGCUAUCCUGAUGCUUUCAUGUUCAAUGAUGUUCCUUCUUCCAAAUUAGACAGUGGGAGAAAUUUUAGGCGGAUUUCGGAAGUGGCCCAUGCGGAGGUUCCACCUUCUGCACAAUCCUUUAUGCUUGAAGAGACUGGCUUUAGUGUCACUUGUCCGUCUGAAGCUAUUUCUGAGAUCCAAUCUUCCCCCCUUGUGGUUGCUAAUGAUGCUAAGGCAGCUCAAUUUUCAGAAACGAAGAGACAGAGUCCUUCAGAGGACAAGGUUUUGCCUGACUUCAGUCAUAUGCAAAGCAUGAACACACAAAGCACUGCAGAAUUCCCUGAUGUGAACUUUUUGAGCCCUGAGACUACAGAUGCAGAAUAUAUUGAUAUGUCAGCAGUUUUGGAUGGGACUAUGCCUUCAGAAGCCGAUGCUUUUUCUCCUGAUCCUGAUGGGGAAAUGUUGGAUGGGGUCCAUAAGCUUCCAGGAAUCAAUGAUGCUUUCUGGGAACAAUUUCUCACAGCAAAUCAUGGAGACACUGAUGAAAUUAAUUCAUGUUCUGUAGAUGGUGAAAUGACCAAGGAUCAGGAAUUGCAAUUAGGGAAGGAGAAUGCAUGGGACAAGACUCAAAAUAUGAAUCAUCUUACUGAGCAGAUGGGGCUUUUGGCAUCUGGGAGUGCAAGGAGUUGAUCUGUCUUUCUAAAUGUAUAUACAUCUUUCUAGUCAUCCAGAGCAUUUCAUCAAAUUUAUGUACCAAUGGUAAUUUAUCUAUUUUACAAUACAGUAAAAUAUAUUGACAAAGUAAAUAUUGCAUUGUCCUUGAUAUCUACCAGACAUCAAGAAAUAACGUGGUUGGUGUUAUACACUGCUGAGAAGCAAGCUUUUCUUCAAAGAGAAAUGACCAGUUAUGAUGGUUGAAGUUUUAGAAACCCUUUUGCUCGUAUGUAUUUCUUUGCAUGGUUUAAGACCUAUCAUGGACAUAAAGCUUGUCAUAGCAACUAAGUAUGCAUUUCUUUUUAUGGGACUCUCGUCAUUAAUAAUGCUCACCUUUGGCUAAAAGGUGCCUUUUUUUUU